rnacentral:lncRNA from 1 species
UUAGGGUGCGUUCCUAAAAUCAGCAGCUUGAGAGCGAAAAGCGGCUAAAGGCGUUCUUAAAUUGUGCUGACCGUCAGCGCUUGCAGCGGUUUCUAAGCGAUCGAAAAGACGGCUUGUAGUAAGCAAAUUAAAAUGGCUGACAAUCAGUGGUUCGAAGUGCGUGUGUCAAUUGGUGAUAAAUUGUAUGUAUUACAAAUGACAGAAAACGAUUACUGCAGAUUUUUAAAUGAUCCUACUUUCGCAAAUAAUCUAAUAAAAAGACUUGAAGUUCGUGAGAAUUCGGUACGACUGGAGGGGGAGUCCCCGCGGAGUUCCGACCCCCCUUUUGUCUUGUCCCCCUGAUUGGGGUCUCCUG